rnacentral:snRNA from 1 species
GCCUCAGAGAUCUUGGUGGUAA